AAUUUGUAAUUUCAAAUUGGAUACUUUUUGGACCUAUGUACAUGUAUGUGAACAUGGUCGAAAGUUGAGUGAGAGAUUAUUGAUAUCUAAAUGGCCAGCGGAGGACCAACAGAUGGUAAAUUUAUUGUUUUGUUUAAUUUAAGGAUGUUUGCUACUCUGUUUCAAAAUAAUUCAAUAGAUUGUUAUGAAUUGAUAGUAUCAUUGAUACUAUUCAUAAAUAAAGGAACUAAAAAAGCAGAUCAAAAUGAAGGGAUCGUGUGCUUGUUUUCGAGAUAUUAGCAAUUGGAAAUUUGGCGGGAUAUUAUUCUCUCUAGACUUUUUAAACUUUUAACAUAAGUACUCUAUUUCCAGUUUUAAAAAAUGAAAACAUAUUAAGGAUUUUAUAGGAUUUAUAAACUACUAUAUGUAAUAAAAUUGUGAAAAGAAAAGUAAGGGUUGGCAGGGAAGUUAUUGUAAUUGCACUAUAUGCCAAAAACCAGAGGAUUCCGAAAAUUUCUAAAAACGAGAGGAGCGAACAUCCCCAAAGGAUUUCUAUUUCUAUUAUAUUUAUGUUGUUAUUUCAUUAAUACUUGCACCGUUGUAACACAAUAACACACACCAUUUUGAUUCAAUUAAAAGACAUCUGCACAUUUGAAUUUAUGAAGGAAUUAACAACUGAAAUUAUAUUAAAGAAUACUUUUGUUAUCCACAGAUUGAAGACGGCUCCAUAUAAUUUUAAGACAUUUGUUUACAAAUUUCUAAUGCACUCAUUUUGUAAGAUUUAUGAAUAUAAUUAUAUCACUAAUGCAAUGCAGUGUAAUGUAAGGUUAUUAUGCAAUAAUUUUAUUAUAGACAUUGAACCUGCUCCACCAUACGAACCACCAAACAGAUUUUCAAACAUUCACCAUGGACCAGGUCCAAGUGAUUUCGGGAGGGGUUCACAUCCAGCCCCUAACAACUUUUUGUUCAACAGAGCUACAUAUCCAGAGCUUCCAGGUUUUUAUGAUGAAUAUGGACAUGACCAAUUCAAGAUGAUAGAAUUAAAUUCGAAACAUAAAGCGAAGAUGAGACGUCAGCUCCAUCAACAUAAUACAACGGUAUGAGCAAUAACUAUACAUCUAUCUUGGAAUGUAUCAAUGUAUUAGAAAUAUUUAAUCACUAGUUUACGCACAUUCUCCAAAAGUUUAUUCAAAUAUUCGAUGACGCGACGUCAUUAUCUACGUCACAGAUAUAAAAAUACUCAUGCCAAUUCUACCUUCUGCUCCUUUAUAACGUUUUACGAAAAAUCCCGAUAAAAAAUGACACGAUGAACGAUGUUUUUAUUGGCGCAAUGUGGAAGAAACUGAAAAUGGCCCAAGUAUAAAUUUUUACUCAAAGCCUAGUCUUAUGAUACAGAGCUAAUAAACGACAACUAAUCAAUUACAGGCUCUUGACAUCGGACAGGCAC
rnacentral:lncRNA from 1 species